rnacentral:rRNA from 1 species
CUACGGGACGCUCCAGUGAGGAAUAUUGCACAAUGGGGGGAACCCUGAUGCAGCAACGCCGCGUGGAGGAUGACGCAUUUCGGUGUGUAAACUCCUUUUAUAUGUCAAGAAAAUGACGGUAGCAUAUGAAUAAGCACCGGCUAACUCCGUGCCAGCAGCCGCGGUAAUACGGAGGGUGCAAGCGUUACUCGGAAUCACUGGGCGUAAAGGACGCGUAGGCGGGUUGGAAAGUCAGGUGUGAAAUCCUACAGCUUAACUGUAGAACUGCACUUGAAACUUGUAAUCUAGAGUAUGGGAGGGGGAGAUGGAAUUAGGGGUGUAGGGGUAAAAUCCGUAGAUAUCACUAGGAAUACCUAAAGCGAAGGCGAUCUCCUGGAACAUUACUGACGCUAAGGCGUGAAAGCGUGGGGAGCAAACAGGAUUAGAUACCCCAGUAGUC